ensembl:lncRNA
CCCCUAAUAUAGCGUGGUGGGAGAGCCGAAGGAAUACUUAUUGAAGUAGUCACAACGACGACAUCACUAGCUAGGCCGCAUAUUCCAUCGCCAGAUCCGAACCAAGCGAAGUGAAGGAAGACGGGUGUCCUUUUCGUACACUGAGUGUGGUGGGUGAGUCUUCGUGCUGUGAAAACCUAUAAUUUUGACGUGGUGUUGUAUAUUGCUGUGGGCUGCUGUGUAUUGUCGUGUGUCCUGUCAGAUAAACCCCCGCCUUCAUGCACUUCGUCGCGGGAGGACAAGGAGACUGCUGGUCCUAGCCUAGUUCAGUACAGUAUAUGUUGUGAGCGUGCUUCAGAUCUCCGGAGAUAGCACGGUACGCUGUGUCCAGCCCAGAGGUGAAAGCCAUCCAAAGCAGAGUAACUGUGCUUUGUGUCCAAGUUGAUACCUGUGGAGAGGAAAGGAAAGAGAGAGUGAGUAACACAAGGAGAACCAGAGGGAACCUGUACUUACAGUACGCUGUGUUCAGCCCAGAGGUGAAAGCCAUCCAAAGCAGAGUAACUGUGCUUUGUGUCCAAGUUGAUACCUGUGGAGAGGAAAGGAAAGAGAGAUUGAUAUCUGUGGAGAGAAAAGGAGAGAGAGUGGGUAACACGAGGAGAGACCGAGGAAACCUGUACUUACGCCGCUGCCUGUGGAGAAAGAGAAAGCGAGUGAGCACCCAAGGAACGAACUGUGUGAACCAG